UAUAAAAGAAAUUUAAAUAAUUUACCUUUUGUAUCAGGGUUUUUUAAAAUUAUUAAUUAAUAAUUUAUCUCGAAGCAAUAAUGAGCUAAUUAAUUUAUUUUUGUUGUAGUAAAAUAAUUAAUUAUAUUAGUAAUGAAAUGUUAUCGUAUUUUGGUUUAUCUAGUUAUUUGAAUAGUUUAAUUUAUAAGUAGUUGUAAACUAAGUAAAUAGAAGAGUUAAUUUUUUUAUUUAAAUAAAUAAAAAAAUUUUUUUAUUAUUAAUUAGGUUUAAUAUUAAUCAUAUUUAUAUGUUGUUAUAAAUAAUUAAAUGUUUAAUUAUGUAUAUUAUUUUUAUUUAAGUUACGGGGAUUAUUAUAUUAUUUUUAAAAAUAAUGAAUUAAUUAGUAUUAGAUUUAUAUUAUAUAUAUAACUCGGAGUUUAUUUGAUAGUUUAACAAAAACAUUUUUUUUAGUAAAUUAAAAAUAAGGCCUGCCCAGUGAAUUUUUAACGGCUGCAGUAUUUUAACUGUACUAAGGUAGCAUAAUCAUUUGUUUUUUAAUUGAAAACUGGUAUGAACGGUUUUACAAAUAAUUAAUUGUAAUAUAUUUAUUUAGUAAAUUUUAUUUUUAAUAAAAAUAUUCAAAUAUAAUAAAGGGACGAUAAGACCCUAAAAGCUUUUUUAUUAUUUUGUUUUAAUAAAAUAAAUAAAUUUGGUUGGGGAAACAUAUAUAUAAAUUUUAUUUUAUAAUAAUACAAGUAUUUUUGGUAAUUUGAUCUUUUUUAUAAAGAAAAAUAGAAUUAGUUACUUUAGGGAUAACAGCGUAAUAAUUUUAGAAAGGUCUUAUUAAUAAAAUUGUUUACGACCUCGAUGUUGAAUUAAAAUGUCUAUAUAUUGUAGGAGGUAUAUAAGAAGGUUUGUUCAACCUUUAAUUUUUUACAUGAUUUGAGUUCAAAU
rnacentral:rRNA from 1 species